GUAUUUAUAUGCUAUUCAUGCAUUACAGACAUUCAAUAACAAAAGUGUUUGUGUAAAAACACAUGAGCCAAGUCUCAACAUUAUUUCAGAUGUGACCCAGCCCAUGAGAAGUGCACAGAGGUGUAAGAAGAGGUUGAAUGAGAUGUGCACAUGCCUAGUAGAAGGCCAGCUACAACCCCACUCAAUUUCAUUCAAUAAUGAUCCUUCCGCAGGUUCACCUACGGAAA
rnacentral:misc_RNA from 1 species